ACUGCUCAAGGUGACCACAUUCUCUGGAGCCAAUCCAGAAUUAUGUGUAAUUCAUUUUUCUUCUUGCUAAUGCAAGCAUACUUGACCAUGGUGAGUAAGUGUGAUUCUAUGUAAGAAUAUGUCUGAAUUGAAUUCAGUUAAAUUUAUUUUCAAUAUAAUUUCAAAUAUAGGUAUAUAUUGACUUUAGUAGAUAAUUGUAAUAGACCUCAUAUUAGGUGGCAACCUAAACUUGUCAUGACACUUUAGUUGUAAAAGAGUAAUUUAAAGAAAAGUAUCCUGGCUUUUUAUUUUGAGUUUGCAAAUGUAUUCUGAUUCCUUGUCUUAUUUUCCUUGUUG
rnacentral:lncRNA from 1 species